rnacentral:ncRNA from 1 species
GAUAACAGGCUAAUGACUCCUAAGAGCUCCUGUCGACGGAGUCAUUUGGCAUCUCGAUCUCAACUCAUCACAUCCUAGGGUUGAAGAAGGUCCCAAGAGUCUUACCAUAAAUUAACAAAUGUCAUUUUGGCUUAUGGUGUGACGCACCACUG